rnacentral:rRNA from 1 species
GCUUGACUGUAACCUGGAAUGGGGUUCCGGCUUGGGCAUGCGCAGGAUAGGUGGGAGGCGAAGAAGGUUCCCCUUGCGGGGGAGCCCAGAGCCAUCCUUGAGAUACCACCCUUGUCAGGCGGGAGUCCUAACCCUCACCCGUGCAGCCGGGGAGGGGACAGUUUUCAGGCGGGCAGUUUGACUGGGGGCGGUCGCCUCCUAAAAGGUAACGGAGGCGCGCCAAGGUUCCCUCAGGCUGGUUGGAAAUCAGCCAGAGAGUGUAAAGGCACAAGGGAGCUUGACUGCAAGAGCUACACCUCGAGCAGGGACGAAAGUCCGGCCUUAGUGAUCCGACGGCACUGAGUGGAAGGGCCGUCGCUCAACGGAUAAAAGUUA